rnacentral:sRNA from 1 species
GCACGCGGAACUUUUCACGCAUUCAGUUGCAAGGGAGAGGGGGAUGGGGCCCCCUCUGGUUGCGUCGUGCGGAAGG